rnacentral:rRNA from 1 species
AACGAGCGCUGGCGGCAUGCCUAACACAUGCAAGUCGAACGAGACCUUCGGGUCUAGUGGCGCACGGGUGCGUAACGCGUGGGAACCUGCCCUUAGGUUCGGAAUAACUCCCCGAAAGGGGUGCUAAUACCGGAUAAUGUCUUCGGACCAAAGAUUUAUCGCCUUUGGAUGGGCCCGCGUUGGAUUAGCUAGUUGGUAGGGUAAAAGCCUACCAAGGCGACGAUCCAUAGCUGGUCUGAGAGGAUGAUCAGCCACACUGGGACUGAGACACGGCCCAGACUCCUACGGGAGGCAGCAGUGGGGAAUAUUGGACAAGGGGCGAAAGCCUGAUCCAGCAAUGCCGCGUGAGUGAUGAAGGCCUUAGGGUUGUAAAGCUCUUUUACCCGGGAUGAUAAUGACAGUACCGGGAGAAUAAGCUCCGGCUAACUCCGUG